GAUGAAGAACGUAGCGAAAUGCGAUAAGUAAUGUGAAUUGCAGAAUUCAGUGAAUCAUCGAAUCUUUGAACGCACAUUGCGCCCGCCAGUAUCCUGGCGGGCAUGCCUGUCUGAGCGUCAUUUCAACCCUCAUGCCCCUAGGGCGUGGUGUUGGGGAUCGGCCAAAGCCCGCGAGGGACGGCCGGCCCCUAAAUCUAGUGGCGGACCCGUCGUGGCCUCCUCUGCGAAGUAGUGAUAUUCCGCAUCGGAGAGCGAUGAGCCCCUGCCGUUAAACCCCCAACUUUCCAAGGUUGACCUCAGAUCAGGUAGGAAUACCCGCUGAACUUAAGCAUAUCAAUAAGCGGAGGA
rnacentral:misc_RNA from 1 species